AGCACAGAUCUGUUUACAAACCCAAGGCAGAGCAGCAAGAGAAGAGUGAGGGGAGGAAGGGGGGAAAGGCCAACUGCAGGCACCAUUAUGGACCCAAAAAGGAGGUAGAAGGGGGGAAGCCUGCCAUGACAAAGCCAGCUGGAGGUGUGAGAGGCUGACAGACACACUCCGCCUUUGUCUCAUAUUUUUUUUUCCUCCCUGUCUUUCUUAAUCGAAGGAGCAGAUGGUUGGAGGGAGAGUAGGUUCCCCCACCCUACACACAAAACACACGCACAUAUCUUCUGAUGAACACACAGCAGUUAUAGAGGACUGUUGUUGACUGCAUGGAGCUAUCCUCAUGUUGUUUGUUCUUGGAGGGGAGAACAUCAUCACCUUCAUUUAGAAGGAACAUCUACAGCAAGAUCAGAGGACCAGAGGAGGAGGAAACCAGAGAAGUGGUGAGACUUGAGAAAAUCAGAUUUCGAUUGAUGUUGGAUUAUUGCUUUCACUGGGUUGAGGAUUUGCCAUUAAACGCUGGAUGUCACUGUAACUGGCGAGAGGCAGGGGACAAGACUGCAAAGUGACGCAAAGUGAAGUCAAGGAGGCUGUUUCCCUUCUCUCUCUAAGCAUAUGAGGUCCUCAGAUCCAAAUCCUCCCCCCCUCAACUCAACACGGAGUGGUUAAUCCAGAUUUGGGGAAUGCUGUGCAGCCCAGACUGCUGAGCCAACAAUAAAAAAAAAAAAAGAAAACACACCUCUGAAGGAUUUCUGGAA